ACGAUGGCCCUGAGGCGCAAAACACAACGGCAAAUUAGAAAACACAGCAAAAAAAGAGAAAACACAAUGGCAAAUCAGGAAACACAGUGACAUUAACCAUCGUGUUUUCUCUUUUUGUGUUGUAUUUUCUGUUUUGCCAUUGUGUUUUCUGAUUUGUCGUUGUGUUUUACACCUCAGGGCCACCGUA